rnacentral:lncRNA from 1 species
UUUUCUCUCAAAGUCUCAACCUUCACACACUUGCUCAAAAUUGUCUUAAAAAAGGUAACAAAUAUAUAGUCGACCGAAUUAAAUAUAUAAAAAGAAUCUCAUUACAAUCGUGUUUCUUAAGAAAAAAGAAAAAAAGAAAAGAAAGAAAGAAAAGAAAACAUACACACGCACACAUAUUACGCCAUAGACAACUUGUUGUCAUUGAUCUUACCACCCAUCAAAAUAUCUGUCCUCUAUAAAAAGCCUUACAGAAAGCAUCCCAUCUCCAUUCAAGAAGAGACCCAUCAAUAGAUCCUUUCCCUUUACUGUAAUCUUCUUCUUCUUCUUCUUUUCUCUGUGUAUAAGCAAAUUAGCGUCGUCUUCACAAAAUGGUACGUAUAGAACCCAUCUCUCUCCCUCUCUUCUUUCUACAUUUUUAAUACGCCUAUCAGCAAGUUCUAUCUAUUUUAAGCAUUUUUCUGCUUGUAUUCAUCUGCAUCUGCACGUUUCAUAAUAUACAGUAACGGUUUUCCGGCGAGUAAAAUGCGGUUUUGAAGGGGGGGAAAAGGGCAGUUUUCCGGCGGUUCAAAUUGCUUUUUGUUGUUAUUGUUUAUUGUUAGUUGGGUUGAGCAGUUCUCUUCUUUGUUUUUUAUUGGCGUGUAUCCUUUUGUUUGCUAAUUAAUUUCUUGAUGCCAAAACGAAAGGAAUAUUUGGUGCUUUUCAGUUCCGUAAUCGACUAAUUAAUUAACGGCAAUUUUUUAAAAUUCAUAAACAUGUACACUUAUUAAUUACGCGAGUUUUUUUUUAAUUAAGACAAAAAUGCUUAUUGUUGAUAUUGGUACUCGAGAAUUCUUAUUGCCACUCUUUCCCUGUCUAGAUUUUGCAAAUGGGAGCCUCAGUAGAAAUUUUCUUUGUUUCUUUUCUUUUCUUUUCGUUUUGGACUCUAUUUAUUAGUUUUCUUGAUUUGAAAAAUUUGUUAUUGUUUCUGAAAAUAACGAUAUUGGCUCUAAAAUAUUGAAGUAGUCUAUCAAAGUUGUAAAGUUUGAAUUAGAACCACGAGUAAAGUCGAUUAAACAAUUAAAAGAAAUUUUUAAUUGUAUUGUUUGUAUUAUUUUCAUUGCAUUUUAAAAAUAAAGAAAAGAAAAACCCCUGCUGAUAUGAUU